rnacentral:lncRNA from 1 species
GUAGCUGAAGUUAUCAUCUCAUGUUAAAUUUAGACUUGUUUGGUUUAUGUAUGAACGCUCUUUAGUGUUCUGUGAUCACUUCACCUCGUUUUCAUUGUUUCUUUGUUUGUGAAGUGCCAAAAUAUAAACUCUAUCGAUGUUGCGAUUUCUGUGUUGAUAGGAGAACGUGUGUUUGGGUUGGUUCUAGUUAGAAAAUAUAUGUGUUUAAUAAUGAGGGGAUAUCACUAAGUUAAUAAGACUAAGACAUCACUGGUGAAUCUUUCAGUCCCUUAUGUAUUAGCCUAUUUCUGAUAUAAGUUAAAUUCCAUUUUAUACGUUUUUGGUUUCACUGCUACUUCAUUCUUUUUCCUCUCUUAUAUUGGUAGUUUAGUGAAUUAUUUUUGAAGUUAUUUUGGGAUGACUUCUUUGAUGACACAUUAUUCCCUUACAGCACAAGUUCGUUGAAUAUUAAUUUUGGUGUCCUAAUAUUAUGGACUUUGAAUAUUUUUUUUAAUUAAUUACUCUCCAUGUUUUUCUUGUCGAAUGCAAUAGUUGUGGAACAAUAUAUUUCACUGCGAAAACAAGGUCAACAUGUGGAUAUAUAUUAUUCUAAAUACAAUCUUGUGUUAACGUCGGUGUAUAUAUUAUUUGGGCUGGUUCUAAAUACACAAUCUUGUGUUAACGUCCGUGUAUAUAUAUUAUUCUCAAAGUAGUGAAUUCGUUCUUGUUCACUAUAUGCAUACUGCCAUGGUAUCACUUUGGACAAAAUGAAGUAAUGGGUAAAAAGGAUUUUGUUAUGUUGCAUGACUGUAGAAUUUGUGUAAAGCAUGUUAGUUCUAAAUCACAUUUGGUAUUUCCAUGCAUAUGAGUGUUUCCCUUUCGUUAUUAUUUGCCGAACUAAACAUAUAUUAAUUCUCAUCUCCUAUCUCCUUUUUUUUAUGCAUGAACUCCCUUGUUCGAGUCCUUUUGGACUCUUUCCUUGCAUUCUUGUUGAGUUGAAUCCAAUAUCGAGUCAAAACCCCAAGGCAAAGUCCUAAAAGGACUUCUCUUUGCACUGAUAUACAGUGAUAUAUGCAUCAGAGAGGCUGGUAUACAUGUUAUAUGCGGCUGGAAAUGAAAAGGAAAGCCGAUUAUAUGGUUGGGGGCUGAAAUUGCAUAUACAAGGCUAAAAUCCGGUCAUGUAUACACCAGAUAUACAAAAACGCAGCAGCAGGAAAACUGAUAUGCAGUCAGUAUACAGCUGGGUAUACAUUGCAGAAAUGGACCAAAAGUCCAAGAAGAAUAGGCCCAAGAGUUGUCCAGAUUUGAAAAGGGUCCAAUCUUUAACUCCUUUUCUCUUUAGUUUCCAUUUUAACUUGUUUAUUUAUAUUUAUUUGAACACACUAACUAAUUAAUCUAGAUAAAUCUCCUAAAGCGUUGCCAUUUUAUCUUAUCACGGUUUCUAGUCAAUUCACAAUUUUCUUACCUAAUUUAUCUCGCCUAAAUGAAUUAAGUGAUUCUUUCUAUUUUCCUUCCUAAAACUAAUCUUCAUGGAAAAAAUUGCUAAGCACUGUAUUUUAAAAUUGACAUUUGUUUUGUUCAUGUGACUAAUAGUCUAUUUGGAAUAAAAUAAUUUCCUUCAAAUCACAGAAAUUAUUUUCUCAUAAAUUUUAACUUUUCCAUAAUUGAUAAGAUAGUUUUAACAUGAUAUUACCUUAACAUUUCUCAUAUAUAUAUAUAUAUAUAUAUAUAUAUGGAUUAGAUACUAGUUAGAAUUUGAUACAAAUUUAUAUUUUUUGGGAAUUGGUUGGUCUGUGUUCCUAUCUAUUAAUAGGAUUUUGGUUUACACGACCUGUUGCUGCAAAUGCUUGUCAAAAAGCCUUUGUAACUAAUCGUGUUGGGGAUUUUGGUUUAUUAUUAGGAAUUUUAGGUUUUUAUUGGAUAACGGGGAGUUUUGAAUUUAGGGAUUUAUUCGAAAUAUUCAAUAACUUGAUUUAUAAUAAUGAGGUCAAUUUUUUAUUUAUUGCUUUAUGCGUUGUUCUCUUAUUUGUUGGUGCAAUUGCUAAAUCCGCCCAAUUUCCCCUUCAUGUAUGGUUACCUGAUGCCAUGGAGGGGCCUACUCGUAUUUCGGCUCUUAUACAUGCUGCUACUAUGGUAGCGGUGGGGAUUUUUCUUGUAGCUCGGCUUCUUCCUCUUUUCAGAGUUAUACCUUACAUAAUAAUGUAUUUGGUCUCGAUUAUAGGAAUAAUAACAGUAUUAUUAGGAGCUACGUUAGCUUUUGCUCAAAAAGACAUUAAGAGAUGUUUAGCCUAUUCUACAAUGUCUCAAUUGGGUUAUAUGAUGUUAGCUCUAGGUAUGGGGUCUUAUCGAAGCGCUUUAUUUCAUUUGAUUACUUAUGCUUAUUCCAAAGCAUUAUCAUUUUUAGGAUCCGGAUCCAUUAUUCAUUUAAUGGAAACUAUUGUUGGAUAUUCUCCAGCUAAAAGCUAGAAUAUGGGUCUUAUGGGAGGUUUAAGAAAAUAUGUAUCAAUUACCAAAAUCACAU